GGUUUUAUAGUUUAUUUAAAAUAUUAAAUUGCAAGUUUAAAGAAACGACUAUAAGUUUUUAAAACCU
rnacentral:tRNA from 2 species